rnacentral:lncRNA from 1 species
ACAGGGCUUGCGUUCAACUUCCUUUAUUUCGUGGUGUCAGAAAUUGUUGUGACUCGCUACUUUUAAUCGAGAGCUUACCUUAAAAGUGAAGCAUGGGUUUUGUUUCUUUUUUCCUUUUUUUUUUCUUUUUGCUUUCUCAAAUGCUGUGUAAUCUAAGUCCACUAUGACUGAAUUUUGGGCCAUUACUACUUUAGGAAUUUGUAAGCAUGAUUUAUUUUGUAGAUCUAGUUGAAAGUUUGUUUUACCUUGAAAAGAUGCUUUUGUUUCAAUCAGUAGAAGCAGGUAGCACCACCAACCAUCAAUCUUUCGUUCUUAUUGGAUGGCCUGGUUUUAUCCAUCAUGGUAUGUGUAUGAAAUGUAGUAGCAUUGAAUAGAAUGGUUCAAAAAGAAAAUUCAAUUUUUUUAUUUUUACUUUCGGAUAGUUAAUUGUCAUUCUGCAUUCUCAACGUUCUAAACAAAUCAUGUGGUCAAUGAAUGUAUUGAAGGCUUUGAUCAAAGGGUAUAAAAUAACAUAUCAAGGCAUGCCAUUUUAUAUUUACUUCCAGGCUUCAUUAUCCUCUAUCUUAAAAGCAUGUCGCGUGCACUCUAGUAAAACCAAUAUUUGCUUUGGAAAUUGCUUAAAUGGCAGCUCAAAUUAAGGGUUGUUAUGCGGUAGACCAUUGUAAAAGUGGUAUGUGAUGGUUUACGGGUGGAUCACUUUUAAAAUGGUCUGAAGUGUGUGUUAGACUGUUAGGUAUAAAAAUGGGUAGUGGCUUGUGGGCACGUGCUGUCUUACUCCAUUGCAAUUUGCUGACCGACGCACUCGUGGUGGAACCUUAUCAUUACAUUGAUUAAUCACAACAACUAAAAGUUUAGGUGCCCACUAGGGUGGGGAACUAACAUUUUGGUCCACCGGUGCACCAGGGGGAUAUUUUAGACUUUUCCCCUUCCUUUCCUUCUCCCUUCCACUCUACCCUGAGUACUCUCCCUCACUGCCUCCCAGAACAUCACCUACUGUCAGAAAGAGGCACGGCGGCUCCGGUCACCGGAGCUCCGAGUUACUGCCACCCACUCGAUCACAGGAGCUCCAAGCCGACGAUUAUGGGAAAACACCAUAGCCAGUCCUUUCUCCUACGCUUCUUCCUCUUCUCCCUCACGUCCCAGAAAAUCAAAGCCAAUGUUGCGAUUGAGAUGAAGAGGGUCUGGGUUUCUGAUUUUCAGAGGGGUUAGAUUUCUGAAAUUGCGAAGAAGAAACAGAUUUGAGAACAUCAAAACUGAUUCUCACUCAGAUCUAGGGUUUCUCUACCACCAAGCAAGGGAUACUAUGAAGAUUGUGUUUCAGAUCUGGGUUUUAUGGUGUCGGAGAUGUCAUCGGAGAUGGAGAUGCGGCGGCGGACAUGCAUCCCAACUGUUGGUUGCAAGGGUUUGCAGAUCUGGAAUUUUUCCAUUGAUGUUCAUGAAUGCAGACUUCUGGGUUUCUAACUCAUGGGUCUUACAAAUAUGUAUUUGGCUUCCAAAUCUCUAUUUGAUCAACAAUAAAUAAUAAAUUCUCUUGAUUUUCAUUUGUUGAUAAAAGGAUAUGACAGUGGGAUAAUGCUUUUUCUUCACACGGCAGGUUAAAAUCUUGCCAAAUUCAAUGAUGGGUGGGGUAGGAUGCAUAUGCAUCAUGCAAUUGAAUAAGGAAACAGUGGCAUCAUCAGCGUCGUGAAUGGAUAAAGAGACAGCAUACCUUGUUCGAUGAAACAACAAUCGGAGAUUUAACGGAUUUUUUAGGUUUCUUUCUCACUUGGUUCUGUUUUUUGUUUUUUGUUUUAUUUAGGAUUUGAAGGUACUUGUGAAGAAGAAUGAUUUAUUUUUAGAUUAAUUGUUGAUCAUCUUGUGAAGAAGAGUGAUUGAGCUUGCAAAUCUGGGAUUUUUCCAUUGAUUUGGAAUUUAUUUUAUUUUCUACAAGGUGGCGAUGGAAGCUUGCUGGAGAACUUUUUGUUACAUUGGAUUCCAACAUGAACUAGGAAGAAGGUGAAGAUGCUUCUGAACGAACGAGUAGUGAAGAACAUGAAGAAAGAAGAGGGGUUUCAAUUUCCAUUUUUACCCUUUUAAUUAUCAUCGAAUCCUAACCGUUCAGUUAAAGAAUAUUCCAAGAUUCUUAGAUCUAAUGGUGUUUGACCCCUGGUUCACCGGUGGACUAAAAAAAAGGUUACCCACCCUAGUGGGCACCAAAAGUUUACAGUAGUAUUGUACAGAAGCAGAAGAGAUCGAUGAGUCCAAACUCACAUGCUUAAUUUUUCACUUCGCGGCGUGUUUUUGUUUUAGCUUCAGCUUCUUCUUCAACUCACAGAACUAGUUUCGCAGUUCACUUCUCAAUUUCAUCUUCACCAUCAUCACUCACUCACUCACUCACUCACUCACUCACUCACUGCAUCGAUCAUCAUCACAAGAUGGCAGCAGCAUCAGCACAAGAAGAAGUGGAGAAUAAGCAGGUGAUAUUGAAAGGCUACAUCGAUGGAAUUCCACAAGAAACUGACAUGGAACUCAAAGUUUCCAAAAUUCACCUUACCCUUCCUCCCUCUGAAUCAGGAUCAGCUAUUCUCGUCAAGAAUCUGUAUCUCUCUUGUGACCCUUACAUGCGUGGUCGAAUGCGUGACUUCCAUGGAUCUUACAUCCCCCCCUUCGUUCCUUCUCAGGUACUGUACCUACCUAACUGCCAAACCUCUAUCUUCCUAUUUUUUCACUAUGAGCUUGAUUGAUUAAAGCAUGCAUAUAUACAUUUUGAUUCUGAGGAAUGAAGGCGCUUGAAGGAUUUGGUGUGUCCAAAGUUAUACUGUCGGAUAAUCCAAGUUUCAAAGCUGGUGAUUUCAUUUCUGGGUUUACUGGCUGGGAGGAAUAUAGCAUCAUCCAUAAGACAGAGCAGUUGAGGAAAAUUGAGCUUGAUGAUCAAAUUCCUCUCUCCUACCAUCUUGGUCUCCUUGGUAUGCAUCAUGCCACUGCUCUUCAUUCAUAUAUCUUAGGGGUAUCAAGUUACUUACUCUGUAUUUUUUUCUUUAUACUAAUAAUAUAAGGAUGAGAAUAUGAGAUCACAACUGGAAAAAUUUGCAUAGCCAUAAAUGGGACUGAAUGUGUGGCAGCAAAAAGCCAACAACAAAGUAAGUUCAGUGUGGUAAAGAUCAAAAUGUUUCUUUGGUUCUGGUUGAGUGAUUACACAAACAUGGUAGAUGUGCCAUUAUUAGAGAAAAAAAGUUUAGGCAGCUCUAGUUAUAGAAAUGAUUCUAAAGUGAUAAGAGUCUUGUUUUAUGUGGUUUAGACAUUUAUGAAGAAUGCUCUUAGAAUGGCUGAUAAAGAGAGUUGUUAUAAACUAAACCAUUAAAAGAGAUUUAGUUAUCUGUGAUCCUAGUACACGACAAAGCAUUUUGAUAUCAUUUGAUUUACUUAGAUUACCCCAUCUGUUGGAAAAGUCUUGGUUAUUGUUGUUGUAUGUUCACAAAAAUUAAAUUGACUUUUGUCAUUUGUGUUUUUAUAUGAUACACAUUUCAGAUAUGUAAUACGUGUAUCUAUCUGUAAUUCUGUAUAUUCCUUUAUAGAUAUGAUUCAUGGAGCCAGGCUUUGUUUUCUGUUUUUAUGGAGUUAGGCUUAUGAUUUCUUAAUUUUCUUUUACUACUGGUUUCUUUUUUCUCUUUAGGAUUGAUUUUCUUAUUCCUGUUUCACUGCUAUACUGGUGAAAUAAUAUUACACCUACGGGUUUCACUUGAUUAUGUUAUUUUGGUUUGCUUUUAAAUUCAAAUGUUAUUUUUCAAAUAAUGGAUUAUUUGUGGUGAUCAGCAUUCAGCAGUUCUGAGUGCCUCUAGGUUCCGAUUUUAAGUUUGUCGAAAGUGUUCAUGAUUUCUUUCAAUCAAGUUAUUCACUCAAGCUGAACAUUUUAAGCCAUUACCAUUUUAUACAUAGUUAGAACUUUUAUAUUCAUGGUUGGUAUUUAGGGAAUCUUGUAAAUUUAGACUUUCUUAGAUUGAAAACAAAAACUGAAGGAUACAAAUGGAUUGAAAUUUCCUUGUGAUGUGCAAUUUACUAUUUUAUGGCAGCAUUGCUAACACCUUGAAUAGCCCUCUUGCCAUACUAGAUUUAUGUUUUUCUUUCUUUUUUAUUAUGGAUGGAAUUCACUCUUGUGAUCCAGUUGUGGUUCACACAUUUCGAGAAAUAAUUAACCUGUCAUUUUUCCUUUUGAUUUAUAGGAAUGCCAGGUUUUACUGCUUAUGCAGGAUUUUAUGAAGUCUGCACCCCAAGCAAAGGAGAAUAUGUGUUUGUAUCUGCUGCAUCAGGUGCUGUAGGUCAGCUUGUAGGUCAACUUGCUAAAUUGCAUGGGUGCUAUGUAGUUGGAAGUGCUGGCUCCAAGGAAAAGGUCAAUUCCACAAACAUAACUAAUUGUAUUAUUGCCAAGAAAAGAAAAACCAGUUACUUUUUCCUUCAUGUAUGAUAUGUAGACAACUUAGACACACAUGGAUGCACACACAAAUAUUUGGACCAGUAUCUAAUUGAGUUUGUUCAUUAAAUCUGUUUUCUUUUUAGGUUGACCUUCUAAAGAAUAGGCUUGGAUUUGAUGAAGCUUUUAACUACAAGGAAGAAGCAAACUUGGAUGCAGCUCUAAAAAGGUGUGUAACAGCUCAACUGUAGUAUAUAGUUUUGAACUGUUAGCAAUUGUCUAUGGGAUGAUUGACCACAAUCUAAACUUCAGACAUAAUUUUCCCUGGUUCAUUUGUCAGGUAUUUUCCGCAAGGCAUCGACAUUUACUUCGACAACGUGGGUGGCGACAUGCUUGAUGCUGCACUCCUUAACAUGAGGAUUCAUGGCAGGGUUGCAGUUUGUGGAAUGGUGUCUCAGAACAGCCUUUCUAAUCCCCAAGGGAUAUACAACUUAUCCAAUCUCAUAAUAAGGCGCAUCAAAAUGCAGGGUUUUCUGCAACAUGAUUACUUGCACUUAUAUCCUCAGUUUUUGGAGCUUGUUUCAAGUUAUUACAAGCAAGGAAAGAUUGUGUAUAUUGAAGACAUGAAUGAAGGCUUGGAAAGUGCUCCAGCUGCUUUGGCUGGGCUUUUCCUUGGCAAGAAUGUUGGUAAGCAAGUAAUUCGGGUUGCCCAUGAAUGAUUCUUUUGUUUCUUGGAAGAAGCUCACCAGGCGCGUGUUUGGAUCAAUGCUUGUGAGAAUGAAUAUUGGAUAGAAUUGGUUUUGUUAUAAUUGAUUAUGAUAAAAGUGAGUUAAUGUGAAUUGAAAGUGAAGUGAUUUAUCUUUAGAUACUUUAUGGGAAAGUGAUUUUUGUUGAGUAAUUAUGUGAAAUCUAGUUAUGGAAUCUCACAAUUGAUUAUUUACUACUCAUAAGCUAUUCUCUCUAUCUUAUUCGUAGAAUUGAUUUUGGAAUUGAAAUCAAGUCUCUAAGCCGAUAAUCAAAAUCUAUAUAAGCCCCUAAAAGUGAGCAUAGUCACCGAGAGUUGAUUCUUGGACUCCCGAAUGUGGAACUAAACACGCACUAAAUUGUGGACAUAUUCCAUGGGUUUGGGUCCUCGUUUUUGUCUAGAAGCGAUUCUACUUAAAGGCUCACCUUAUAGUGUGUUUGGAUUGUUGGUGGCAUCUAAUAUGAAGUUUUGACAUAACAUGUUUAGGAUUGUGUGCAGACCAUUGUUCUAACUUCUAACUUCUAAACACACACAUUCACACAACCCUUCAUUGAUGUUUUUUUGCUACAUGACUUUAUUAUUUAGAUUGAAAAAACAUUUGGUAUUUUCAUUUUUAUGUUUGGAAAUUAGUUUUAAAAACUGAGAAAAAAAUACAUCGUCACCACUACCAUCACCAUUGUCAACACAAACCUCCACCACCAUUGUCGUUGGCGUCGCCACUCGCCACUACCAUCACCAUAUUUAUUAAUAUUUAUCAAAAUAUUCGUAAUUAUUGGUAAGCCAGUGUUGAUUUUGGGGCUGUGUCGGGUCGAAUAAGAGAACCACCCGAAUAAACGGUGCUACCCUACCCUGGUCCUUUCUAGCGCCUUCGAAUACAAAACUCUUCCUCCUUCUUCUUCAUCUUCGUCACCGUUUUAGCUGAUUUAGCGGUUUGUGUUGGCUUUUGGUGUUGAAGAAGUAAACGCAAAUUGAAAUGGAAGGAAACAAAGAGCAGAUUGUGGAUGUUGGAUCGGUGGUUGAAUCCGUUUCUGCUGAAGAUGGUGACGCCCCUCUUUACCAACUCGAAAGCCUCUGCAUGCGUUGUCAUCAAAAUGUAAUCUCUCAUGCGCGCGCAUUGUUAUUCAACAAACUAACUGUGUUAAUUUCUCAAUUUUCUCUCUAACAUACAUGUAUGUAUCCUUUGUUUAUGUUAUUAUCUCUCAGGGGACUACAAGACUUCUAUUGACUAUAAUUCCAAAUUUCAGAAAGGUAUGUACCUACGUGCCUUGUUUAUUGCUCCGUUUCAAUUCUCAUGUUUUUUCCUUGUGUUGAUGUGGGAUAGGAUAGGAUAGGAAUGGAUAUAUAAGAGAGAAAGUUGUGGUAACAUCUAUUGGAAAACUUGGUAGAAUCUCUACUUAGGUGGUUUAGACAUGUGUACACAACACUUUUAGCCUUAGUCUCGCAGAAGCUAAUUAAAGAGAUUGGAUCACAUGGAAGGUAGUCAUACUGUCAUAGAGACUUGUAGAGACCAAGAAACACUACCAAACACUAUGAUUUCUCAUUUGCCAUGAUUCACAACAGGAUAUUAUCAUGCCCAUGUAGCUGAUUUCAACUAGUGGGAAAGGGUUUUGUUGUCGUAAAUUAUUUUUUGUGUACACUUUAUUAAAUGAAUUAGGAUCAUCAAUUGCAAGGUAGAUGAUGGAUCUCGUAACACAUUUUUAUUCUUAUUAUCGGCUGUUUCUUUUCUUAUAUCUGUCCAUUAGCUUUCAUUGGAAUGUAAUCCAUUGCGACAUUUUCUUGUUGUGCAGAUUUUGUUGUCGGCUUUCGAUUGUCCUCAUUGUGGUGAAAGGUAGGCUGCUGUUAGUCUACGCCCUCCUCUUUGCAUUGAAUGUAAUCGCUUUCAUUGAUCUUCCUUGGAAGCUAAUAUUUAUAUUAUAUUUUUUGUUGAUCCUUUAGGAACAAUGAAGUUCAGUUUGCUGGCGAAAUUCAACCGCGUGGUUGUUGUUACUCUUUGGAGAUCCCAUCAGGCAAACAGAAGGUUAUGUUGAUUUGAAUUUCACUGCCCUGAUUUGUCUGUAUUUUAAAUUUUAUCCAUAUUUAGCCAGACAUCUGUCCCAAAUGGUCAAUGAUAUAAAAGUGUUUAAAGUAACAUGACAUACAAGGCUUGGAAAAAUAUGAUUAUGGUAGACUUAAUCAAAGCAGCAGUGGUAGGGAUAUUUGGAAGUUAGUAGGAAUUUCAGGAAAGCAAAUAAUAUGUCUAUUUGUCAUAUAAACUAGGGAAAUAUGGAUUUUAAUUCUUCUAGUUUGUUGGUAAGAGUACCUCCUUGAUAAGUUUAUUGAAUGCAGAUGCUCAACCGGCAAGUGGUAAAAUCAGAAUCUGCGACCAUUAAGGUACAUGAGCUGGCCCUUUAUUUAAUCUCUGUACAUAUUUUAAACUUACUAGCUUUCACUGUUUUUCCUUUACAGUGUAAUGAUCAUCAGGUGAAUGAAAAUCCUUUGGUUCAUUGACACUGAUUUUUGUCCCUUUUGAGUGUAGUACUAUGCUAUCUUAGUUGAGUUGGGGCAUCUCUCUUUUUGUUUCGUUGCCACACACACACGUCUCCAUUAGAGUUUGUUGAGAAAAUGGAAGAUAAUCUUGUUAAAAGAAGUAGAGGAAUCCCUUAAAAAGAUGGAAGAAACAAUUAAAAAGAAUACCUUGCUGUAGAUGGCUUUACUGAAAAUUUGGUUUUUGAUAGAGCAUGCUUACAUCCGUUUAUUUGAUCCCAUAUAGUAGGAUAUGACAUGGUUGUUGUUGCUGAUGCUACUAAAUGCAAGUCUACUAUUGGUCCUAAUACACCUUCGGUUUGGUGUUUAAAGACUGGAGUUAAUUGACCCUUAAUUACCUGUAACUGUAAGAGAGGAAGAAUAGUUGCAUUAUCGAAGUAUAAUAGUCUUGAUAUUUGUGUGUUAAUUUUGCUUUGCUUUAAUGUUUUCUUCUUUCCGGUUGCUACUUGCUAGUCUUAUGCUGAGUUAUUUUCCUGCUUCUUGUUAUUUAUUUAUUUUCUUUUGGGGUAGAAGAACUUCUACAUAUCCUCCGGUACUCUAUUGUCUUGUGGUUUUUCUUUAAUUCUAGUCCUGCUGUAUGCAUCUUCUAUUGUGAUAUGUAUAAACAAAAUCUUGGUGUACUAUGUAUUGUCAGCCUAACCAUACAAUACCACCUUAGAUUUAGUAUUAUGCAUGAAGCUAGGUUUAAAAUUUAUAUGUUUAAUCGAUGUUGAUUUAAAGUGAUUUUAAAUAUUUGGCUCUAUCAUAAGUUUACUUAAAGGCUACCUUGCUUAUAUGUUUGAUUGUGCAG